CAUCUUCGACCCUCCAGGAGCCUAGGUGUCAUAUAUACCGCCAAAAUAAAGAGCUUUGAGUACUAGAAGAAAAGCACCUAUACCUAACAAAAUUAAAUGAAUUAAUCAAAUAAAUUCUAUGCCUCAUUAUGCUAAAUGUUAUACGCGUUUAUUCCA
rnacentral:ncRNA from 1 species